GUUAGAGGAAUGCAACAGAACAGCAAACCUCGUCUGGCUCCCGAAAGUCUGUAGCCAGUCAGAGGGAGAUCUACGGACCGUCUUCCCCAUAGUCCGAGGGCGGGAGCUAGUCGCCAUAGCCAACCUAAUAGCCCACCUCAUCACCAACUUAGGUGGUCUCCUACCCCGAUUUCUAGAAGGGAUUCUACCCCGAGUCAUACUUC
rnacentral:lncRNA from 1 species